GUCAGCUGACACAUCCGGCCAAUCUCCAGCAGACCCUCCCUCCCAGGCCCUCCCACCUCCUGGACAGCAUCCAUGUUGAAGCUGCCUUCAACAUGGAUGCUGUCCAGGAGGUGGAAGGGUCUGGGAGGGAGGGUCUGCUGGAGAUUGGCCGGAUGUGUCAGCUGA